UACGAAGGGGGCUAGCGUUGCUCGGAAUCACUGGGCGUAAAGCGCACGUAGGCGGCUUUUUAAGUCAGAGGUGAAAUCCUGGAGCUCAACUCCAGAACUGCCUUUGAUACUGGAGAGCUUGAGUCCGGGAGAGGUGAGUGGAACUGCGAGUGUAGAGGUGAAAUGCGUAGAUAUCUGGAGGAACACCGGUGGCGAAGGCGGCAUCCUGGACCGACACUGACGCUGAGGAGCGAAAGCCAGGGGAGCAAACGGG
rnacentral:rRNA from 1 species